GACGAACGCUGGCGGCGUGCUUAACACAUGCAAGUCGAACGGAAAGGCCCUGCUUUUGUGGGGUGCUCGAGUGGCGAACGGGUGAGUAACACGUGAGUAACCUGCCCUUGACUUUGGGAUAACUUCAUGAAACUGGGGCUAAUACCGGAUAGGAGCUCCUGCUGCAUGGUGGGGGUUGGAAAGUUUCGGCGGUUGGGGAUGGACUCGGGGCUUAUCAGCUUGUUGGGGGGGUGGUGGCUUACCAAGGCUUUGACGGGUAGCGGGCCUGAGAGGGUGACCGGCCACAUUGGGAUUGAGCUGCGGCACAGACUCCUACGGGAGGCAGCAGUGGGGAAUAGUGCCCAAUGGGCGGAAGCCUGAUGCAGCAACGCCGCGUGCGGGAUGACGGCCUUCGGGUUGUAAACCGCUUUCGCCUGUGACGAAGCGUGAGUGACGGUAAUGGGUAAAGAAGCACCGGCUAACUACGUG
rnacentral:rRNA from 1 species